rnacentral:rRNA from 1 species
GAACCAGACUCCUACGGGAGGCAGCAGUGGGGAAUAUUGCACAAUGGGCGAAAGCCUGAUGCAGCAACGCCGCGUGAAGGAAGAAGGGUUUCGGCUCGGAAACUUCUAUCAACAGGAACGAAAGAAAUGACGGUACCUGAAUAAGAAGCCCCGGCUAACUACGUGCCAGCAGCCGCGGUAAUACGUAGGGGGCAAGCGUUAUCCGGAAUUACUGGGUGUAAAGGGUGAGUAGGCGGCAUGGUAAGCCAGAUGUGAAAGCCUUGGGCUUAACCCGAGGAUUGCAUUUGGAACUAUCAAGCUAGAGUACAGGAGAGGAAAGCGGAAUUCCUAGUGUAGCGGUGAAAUGCGUAGAUAUUAGGAGGAACACCAGUGGCGAAGGCGGCCUGCUGGGCUUUUACUGACGCUGAGGCUCGAAAGUGUGGGGAGCAAACAGGAUUAGAUACCCGAGUAAC